GAGUGAGAAAGAAGGAGCGUUAAGUCAAUAUAUGGAGGGAACGAAGCUAAUGAAUUAGAGCGAAGGGGUGGGCUUUGGUAUGAUAAAUGAAGGUUGUGUUUACGAUUGUUGAGAAAAUAAAACCAUAGUUUUCGUAGUAUAUAGGCGUCGCGUUUGUAUUAGUAUUCACAAAGAUUAAUCCAACUUAAGAAAAAACAUACAAUAUAAUUUAUUAACUAAAAUAUGUAUUGUUCGCAUUUGUAUGUU
rnacentral:lncRNA from 1 species